rnacentral:rRNA from 1 species
UGGGGAAUCUUGCGCAAUGGGGGAAACCCUGACGCAGCGACGCCGCGUGCGGGAUGAAGGCCUUCGGGUUGUAAACCGCUUUCAGCAGGGACGAGGCCUUAUGGUGACGGUACCUGCAGAAGAAGCUCCGGCUAAAUACGUGCCAGCAGCCGCGGUAAUACGUAGGGGGCUAGCGUUGUCCGGAAUCACUGGGCGUAAAGGGUUCGCAGGCGGAAAUGCAAGUCAGGUGUAAAAGGCAGUAGCUUAACUACUGUAAGCAUUUGAAACUGCAUAUCUUGAGAAGAGUAGAGGUAAGUGGAAUUUUUAGUGUAGCGGUGAAAUGCGUAGAUAUUAAAAAGAAUACCGGUGGCGAAGGCGACUUACUGGGCUCAUUCUGACGCUGAGGAACGAAAGCGUGGGUAGCAAACAGG